GACGAACGCUGGCGGCGUGCCUAACACAUGCAAGUGGAGCGACGAACCAGGCUUCGGCCUGGGGCAAAGCCGCGAACGGGUGAGUAACACGUGGGUAACCUGCCCUGAUGAUUGGGACAACCCGAGGAAACUCGGGCUAAUACCGAAUGUGCCCUCCGGCCUCAAGGCCGCUGGGGAAAGGAAGCUUCGGCCUCCGCAUCGGGAUGGGCCCGCGGCCCAUUAGCUUGUUGGUGAGGUAACGGCNCACCAAGGCGACGAUGGGUAGCUGGUCUGAGAGGACGAUCAGCCACACUGGGACUGAGACACGGCCCAGACUCCUACGGGAGGCAGCAGUGGGGAAUCUUGCGCAAUGCGCGAAAGCGUGACGCAGCAACGCCGCGUGGGGGAAGAAGG
rnacentral:rRNA from 1 species